AGAGUUUGAUCCUGGCUCAGAUUGAACGCUGGCGGCAUGCCUUACACAUGCAAGUCGAACGGCAGCACGGGAGCAAUCCUGGUGGCGAGUGGCGAACGGGUGAGUAAUAUAUCGGAACGUGCCCAGUAGUGGGGGAUAGCCCGGCGAAAGCCGGAUUAAUACCGCAUGAGACCUGAGGGUGAAAGCGGGGGAUCGCAAGACCUCGCGCUAUUGGAGCGGCCGAUAUCAGAUUAGCUAGUUGGUGGGGUAAAGGCCUACCAAGGCAACGAUCUGUAGUUGGUCUGAGAGGACGACCAGCCACACUGGGACUGAGACACGGCCCAGACUCCUACGGGAGGCAGCAGUGGGGAAUUUUGGACAAUGGGCGCAAGCCUGAUCCAGCAAUGCCGCGUGCAGGAAGAAGGCCUU
rnacentral:rRNA from 1 species